UUUUGACGCGGGAAAAUCGUGGUGCAACCGAACGAAGACGGUCUAGCUAGUCUCUUUGGUGCAACUUAACAAGCUUUUAAUAUUUUACCAUUACCAUUAGAUAAAUACAUUCCUUUUUCUUCUAAGUAUCUGCUAUAUCUAAAAAAGAAAAAAUGUUUUACUACCCAGAUGUCCUCCAUCGCCAUACUGGAUGUUUUGCCACAAUCUGGUUGGCAGCCACCAAAGGUAUCAGGAUCACUCGCAGAGAGCUUCUCAAAGUCAAUGUCAAGCGAACAUGCGGAGACAUUUUGGACUAUGUGACAGCUAAGGUUCCUCCACCGCAACAAAACCUACCGAAGCCUCGGUUCUCUCUCUACCUGUCAUCUCAGCUGCAGUAUGGAGUGGUUGUAGUCUACCACAGACAGUGUGGCUUCCUGCUAGAGGAGGUUCAACAGACCAUUGACCGCCUGCUGCGCUCUAAAAAAUGCAUAAAUAUCGACAUGGCUGAGUCUGACAGGUUGGCCUUGAAUGUGCCUGACAGCCUGUACAUGAUGGAGGAGGCUGAGGGAGCUCAGGACCCCUUCUUCGGUCUCAUGGCAUCACACCAGCUGCCCAGCCCCUAUAAAACACACCAGCAAAUGUUGGCGAUUGGAGAGGCAGGUUCACAGCACUCCCUGGUGUCCAGUUCCUACACUUCACUUGACACAGAGGGUUUCAGGUCGCCUCCAGCUGCCAUCUCCCUGAGAGAGAAAGAGCAGCUUGUCAUCACAGCUGCUGAGUAUUUUGAGGGAGAUGACCUUCCUGAAGCCACAGCCAGAGAGAUUGACUUGUUGAUGGAUCAGCCAGACCAGUUCCGUGGAGAAGUGGAGGAUCGGCAGACAGACCUGGGAGCCAUGUCCUCUAUUGAUCUGCUGAAGGAGACGUUGCUGGGAGCAGAGCAGAGUGUGUGGCUGCCAGACGAGGAGACGGCUCACCCCGUGGAGCGUCCUCUGGCAGCUGGAGACUUUGAGAUGACUCCGGUGCAGGUUGCCAUGCCAUCAGAGGGAGACAGAGCAACAGAAGGUUCCUACGAAGUGGUGGGGGUUCCUCCUCUCAGGAAGCCCGGCGGACGUCGCAGGCGUCAGCUGGUCUUUGCCGACCCUCAGGUCCAGAUAUCUGAGAGAGCGAUGAAGGAACAGAUCACUAACCCGCUGGCGGAGACACUGGAACUGUCCGAGGUAUUGCUGGACUUGUCCUACUUGACCAAGUGUGCUGCUCCUGCUCAGCUCUUCAGCGCCCCCUGUGGAUCCCUCAUCCAUGCUGACCUCCAGUCACUAUGGAAACAGUGUGCCUCACUCACCGUCCUGCCAGAACAUGGGGGACAACAGGGAGGGGAGGAGGAGGAAGAAGAAGAGGAGGCGAGAGGGGAGUCCGAGCAGGACAGAGAAACACUGAGGACGGAGAGGAAGAGGAGGCACUCAAGCAUGCGAGAGAUAUCCAGUGAGUCAGGACUGCCACCCGCAGACGGCUCGUCCUACACGUCCAAAGAGGACAAAUCCAUAACCGAUGUGGUCACUCCUGUCAGCAGAUGGUCUCCACAAGAGGAGGCGCAGCUCCGCAUGGAUCCCAUAGCGGAGGAGAACGUCGAGAUGCCCGAGGCUCGGACUGACACAGAACAAAGGGACAUGCUGAGCUGGAUCUCCUCCAGCUUGCAGAGGUUUGGGGAAGUCACCUUUGACUCUCUGGUGCCCCCGGAGGCCAACCGCACCACUGCAGCACACACGCUCUAUAAACUGCUAGAGCUGCUGUCUGCCCGACAGGUGACCGUCCAACAGACUGAACCGUUCAGUAACAUCUGCAUCAGGACGGCCGCGUGAACACACACAACAUACACACUAUAGUCCUGUAGAGGUACAGUUAAUAGUCUUUUUAUCGAUGAAUAUAAUGUAUGAAUGUAACCCUUUCGCUUUUAGUGACGCAUUAUAUCAUCACAUCAGAUCUCACACUCUCAUGAUAUCUUUUAUUUAAAAAAAAAAAAAAAAGGAUCACACGGGUUAUAUGUUUUUAUAUGAAUUGUUAAAUUACUCAGAAGGGUGACACAUUGAACAGCAUAACUUUGCUUUUACGCAGUGUUUUAAAGAAGAUUUUUUAACCAUUUUAAUCUGGUUGAUAUGGUUGUAUUUUUAUUUAUAGCCACUGAGUUUAUCAGUGUUAAAAUAAUUUUAAUUCACAUACUGUUAUUGACGUUAACAUCUGGACCUGGUAGGUUUUGUUCCACAGUUUGUAUACAUUUUAACCUUUGUAAUGAUUUUAAAUUAAGCUUUUUAUGAUGUUUGUAUUUUUUUAUCCUUUUUCACU